UACGGGGGAGCAAGCGUUGUUCGGAUUUACUGGGCGUAAAGGGCGCGUAGGCGGCACUGCAAGUCAGUUGUGAAAUCUCCGGGCUUAACCCGGAAAGGUCAACUGAUACUGCAGGGCUAGAGUGCAGAAGGGGCAACUGGAAUUCUCGGUGUAGCGGUGAAAUGCGUAGAUAUCGAGAGGAACACCUGCGGCGAAGGCGGGUUGCUGGGCUGACACUGACGCUGAGGCGCGAAAGCCAGGGGAGCGAACGGG
rnacentral:rRNA from 1 species